rnacentral:rRNA from 1 species
UACGUAGGGUGCAAGCGUUGUCCGGAAUUAUUGGGCGUAAAGAGCUCGUAGGCGGUCUGUCGCGUCGGCUGUGAAAUCCCGAGGCUCAACCUCGGGUCUGCAGCCGAUACGGGCAAACUAGAGUAUUGCAGGGGAGACUGGAAUUCCUGGUGUAGCGGUGAAAUGCGCAGAUAUCAGGAGGAACACCGGUGGCGAAGGCGGUUCUCUGGGCAUUACCUGACGCUGAGGAGCGAAAGUGUGGGGAGCGAACAGG